rnacentral:rRNA from 1 species
CAGCCGCCGCGGGAAUACGAAGGGGGCUAGCGUUGUUCGGAUUUACUGGGCGUAAAGCGCACGUAGGCGGACUUUUAAGUCAGGGGUGAAAUCCCGGGGCUCAACCCCGGAACUGCCUUUGAUACUGGAAGUCCUGAGUAUGGUAGAGGUGAGUGGAAUUCCGAGUGUAGAGGUGAAAUUCGUAGAUAUUCGGAGGAACACCAGUGGCGAGGGCGGCUCACUGGACCAUUACUGACGCUGAGGUGCGAAAGCGUGGGGAGCAAACAGGAUUAGAUACCCGCGUAGUCCCUGUCUCUUAUAC